rnacentral:rRNA from 1 species
AUUGAACGCUGGCGGCAUGCCUUACACAUGCAAGUCGAACGGCAGCACGGGGGCAACCCUGGUGGCGAGUGGCGAACGGGUGAGUAAUGCAUCGGAACGUGCCCAGUAGUGGGGGAUAACUAGUCGAAAGAUUAGCUAAUACCGCAUACGACCUAUGGGUGAAAGCGGGGGAUUCGCAAGAACCUCGCGCUAUCGGAGCGGCCGAUGUCUGAUUAGCUAGUUGGCGGGGUAAAAGCCCACCAAGGCGACGAUCAGUAGCUGGUCUGAGAGGACGACCAGCCACACUGGGACUGAGACACGGCCCAGACUCCUACGGGAGGCAGCAGUGGGGAAUUUUGGACAAUGGGCGCAAGCCUGAUCCAGCCAUGCCGCGUGCGGGAAGAAGGCCU